rnacentral:rRNA from 1 species
CAAUAGCGUAUAUUUAAGUUGUUGCAGUUAAAAAGCUCGUAGUCGGAUUUUGGCUGAGAACGAUCGGUCCGCCGUUAGGUGUGCACCGAUUGGUCUCAGCUUCCUGGUGAGGAGGUGUGCUUCACGGCCACUUAGUCACCGUGGUUACUUUGAAAAAAUUAGAGUGUUCAAAGCGGGCUUACGCUUGAAUAUAUUAGCAUGGAAUAACACCAUAGGACUCCUGUCCUAUUUCGUUGGUCACGGGACGGGAGUAAUGAUUAAGAGGAACAGUUGGGGGCAUUCGUAUUUCAUUGUCAGAGGUGAAAUUCUUGGAUUUAUGAAAGACGAACUUCUGCGAAAGCAUUUGCCAAGGAUGUUUUCAUUGA